CAGUAUUUGUUUGGCAGGAAGAGAAAUCGUCUCAUUUGGUAUCGAUGCAGGUAUGAAUUCACUUAAAUCACCUAAAUUAUUGUGUUAAUUAUGUCAAAGAAAAUCUGUUCCAGAUCGUACCCGCGCCAUGUCGUACCGGACUUGUCUUCAUUUGUAACAAAUGUAAAAUGUAACUUCUGUGAUUGAUCAUAAUCAUAAACUUAAAAGCUAAGUUACGUUAUUAGUUUUAAGUUGAUUAUACAUUUAGGGAGCAUUAUAAUUCACACACCAUCUCAUUAUUAGUUUUGUUAACGUGUUAAAACUGCUAUAAUUAAUUUCAGUUCUUAUUUCAUUUACAUGAUUAAUAUACAAAAAAUAAAUGGAUAUUAUUAUAUAUAAAGGUUAGGUUCUAGAAUUAACCUUUGCAAAAUUGAGGAUGCAAUGCUAAGACUCGGUUAUUAUGUGUCGCAGGUUUUGUGCAUACCGGUAUUGAAAUUCUAUUUUAUUUACUUUUUAUUUUAUAGAGAACAUGACUGACAAAGAUCUAUUGGACAGUGAUUAUGAUGGGAUUUCACAAAUACAUGAGCACAGUUACAUUGUGAUAUCGGACUCUGACCAGACACAACCACCUUCACCUUUUGGUUGACAGGAAUAUUCCAGUGAAAGAUCAGUUGUUUAACAGCCUUUUUGACAAACAAAUUCCUGGUGCUGCCAUUCCUAAUCAACCGACAUAUCAGAAUUUUGGAUAAGAAUUCAGAUUACUGGCUGCAUAUUCAACCGAAUUUUUGGGUCCUGGGUUGGUGGGGGGUAACGUGUUUCAGACCAGAAUCCUGCCGGACCAUCCAAUUGCAAGGACAUCUAACAUAGCUGAAAUGUAUCUGUAAUGAAUUAUUAAAAGUUUGGAUAAAAAAUGUGUUCUUAAAUCAUUAUUUUAAACAAAUUAUACACCCAGGUUGACUAUUUUGAAAAAAUGAAAAAUGACAAUUUUUACACAUGGGAUUUUUCAAUGUUUCCGCAUUCACUAACAUUACUUUAGACAAUGAAAGAU